CUACGGGGUGCAGCAGGCGAGAAAACUUUGCAAUGUGCGAAAGCACGACAAGGUUAAUCCGAGUGGUUUCUGCUAAAGAAACCUUUUGUCGGUCCUAGAAACACCGAUGAAUAAGGGGUGGGCAAGUUCUGGUGUCAGCCGCCGCGGUAAAACCAGCACCUCAAGUGGUCGGGAUGAUUAUUGGGCCUAAAGCAUCCGUAGCCGGCUAUGUAAAUUUUCGGUUAAAUCUGUAUGCUUAACAUACAGGCUGCCGGGAAUACUGCAUAGCUAGGGAGUGGGAGAGGUAGACGGUACUCGGUAGGAAGGGGUAAAAUCCUUUGAUCUAUUGAUGACCACCUGUGGCGAAGGCGGUCUACCAGAACACGUCCGACGGUGAGGGAUGAAAGCUGGGGGAGCAAACCGGAUUAGAUACCCGAGUAGUC
rnacentral:rRNA from 1 species